rnacentral:rRNA from 1 species
GACGAACGCUGGCGGCGUGCUUAACACAUGCAAGUCGAACGGAAAGGCCCUGCUUUUGUGGGGUGCUCGAGUGGCGAACGGGUGAGUAACACGUGAGUAACCUGCCCUUGACUUUGGGAUAACUUCAGGAAACUGGGGCUAAUACCGGAUAGGAGCUCCUGCUGCAUGGUGGGGGUUGGAAAGUUUCGGCGGUUGGGGAUGGACUCGCGGCUUAUCAGCUUGUUGGAGGGGUAGUGGCUUACCAAGGCUUUGACGGGUAGCCGGCCUGAGAGGGUGACCGGACACGUUGGAACUGAGCUACGGCCCAGACUCGUACGGGAGGCAGCAGUGGGGAAUAUUGCAUAAUGGGCGGAAGCCUGACGCAGCAACGCCGCGUGCGGGGUGACGGCCUUCGGUUUGUAAACCGCUUUCGCCUGUGACGAAGCGUGAGUGACGGUAAUGGGUAAAUAAGCACCGGCUAACUACGUG